rnacentral:lncRNA from 1 species
UUAAAGCAUUACCUUCACAGAUUUCACGGAUAUGAUUAUAAUUUUUUGGAUUUCAAUGUGGGGCCUUGGUCCUUAUAAGCAAUUUCAAGGGUUCAUAUUUCUUCUUCUAUAACAUUUUCUCAUCUUUAUAAUUUGAAAAUAAUCUUAUCUUAUAUGGGGCAUCAAUAUGGGAACCACGUAAUAAAAUUGCAUAUAAUUUUAAUGGGUAUGUGAUAAAGAUUUAUUGGAUGACAGACAUUAUAG